rnacentral:misc_RNA from 1 species
UGACAAUCUUAUAAAGUCAUUAUAAGGCUUAGCUUUAAUGUAUAUAUAGAGCUAGAGAGAUUUCUGUUGGUAUAUGUAAGAUACAGAGAACUGCUUGUGCUUAGAAGCCAGUGGAUGAUUAUGAUGUCUAAAUUUUUUCUGUUGCAAAGAAAAAUACCUAUGUUUGGGUACUGUAGAAUGUAGCUUGCAUGUGCAUUUAUAAUUGCAAUAUAGCAUGUUAAGGUUAAGCAUAAUCUUUUAAAUUAAAAAAGAGUUAAGCGUAAUCAUCCAUAUACUGCAUUGUUUCCUGUAUGCUUGUUAGUGAUGCCAGAAAAUUUUAGCAACAUAGAAAUCAACACUUUUCUGAAAACUUCUGUUUGGGAGGUUUUUUCUUUUUGGAGUUCAGGAGAGAGAGAUGGGAAAAAAGCAAGACUUUGAACCCUUUAUUUCCUGCACGACAAGCAGGUAUUUCACUACUAGACAGCUAGAACAGGGGAUUUUGGGAUAUUACUUUGAUUGCCAAUUAUCCCAAACCUUACGUUCAAAUGCACAUGCAAAUUUUGCAUUUUUUUCUAAUAUGCUGCAGCAUACCAUAUGAUCUUCUUGUUGCAUUCACACUUAUUCUCACUUCCCUUUCUCCUUUUCCUCUCUCAUUGAUUAUCCUACUACUAGAAAGCUCUAGUAAUUGAAUCUUCUAAUAAACUCUCUCUAUUAUCACCAAUAAAAGGGUUAAAACUUCCUAAUUUUUUCUUGGGAACAAUAGCUUGUUGCUAUUCAUGAUGUUGCUUCCUAUUUUAUAACGAUAUUCUGGGUUGUAAGUGGGUUUUACCUCUGUGCAUUGUAAUGAAAUUAACUCUUUUUAGCUGAUAAAAUUUCAUUCUUUUAUUCUUGUAGUUAUGUACUCCAUUUACAUCUAACCAUGUGCACAUUAGUGCUAUUAUUGUGUUUAUUCUUUAAUAAAAGAAAAUAUUGCUCUUCUGAGAUAGGAAGACAACAGCUGUUAUGAACUUGUCACUUGGUCACACUAUGCUAUAAACUGCAGCUUCUUAGAACUUAAAAUAGAUUUUUAAGAUUCUGGUUUCUUGAAUAUCCAUUUCAAUUAGAGAGAACCAGAAAAAGGUAACAAAUUUUCCUUAAAAGGUUUUUCUGCUUGAGCAGGUUAUGUUUGCAUGUGGCAAGA